GGGCGGUGGAACACAGCAAAAUGCAAAUUUGAAGAAGCACCAUAAAAGGUGCCCCGGCU
rnacentral:tRNA from 1 species